rnacentral:ncRNA from 1 species
AAAGGUUUGGUCCUAGCUUUACUAUCAGCUCUAACCUGCUUUACACAUGCAAGUCUCCGCACCCCUGUGAGAAUGCCCUUAUUGUCCUGCCUAGGAACUAAGGAGCAGGUAUCAGGCACGAUCAGUCAGCCCAACACACCUUGUUUUGCCACACCCCCACGGGCACUCAGCAGUGAUAAACUUUCAGCUAUAAGUGAAAACUUGACUCAGUUAAGGUUUAAAGGGUCGGUAAACCUCGUGCCAGCCACCGCGGUUAAACGGGAGACCCAAGUUGAUAGACAACGGCGUAAAGCGUGGUUAAGACGUCAAUAUAAUAGGGUUAAAUAGCCUCUAAGCAGUCAAAUGCUAUCGAAACCAUAAAACCCAUUUACGAAAGUAACCCUAACAUCUCUGACUCCACGAAAGCUAUAACCCAAACUGGGAUUAGAUACCCCACUAUGUAUAGCCGUUAAAAUUGAUGGUACUCCACUCGAACCAUCCGCCUGGGGACUACGAGCCUCAGCUUAAAACCCAAAGGACCUGGCGGUGCUUUAGAUCCCCCUAGAGGAGCCUGUUCUGUAACUGACAACCCCCGUUAAACCUCACCCCCCCUUGUCAAAUCCGCCUAUAUACCACCGUCGUAAGCUUACCCUACUGAAGGUUAAAAAGUAAGCCCCAACAGUAAUACUAAAGACGUCAGGUCGAGGUGUAGCGUAUGGGGCGGAAAGAAAUGGGCUACAUUCCCUAACACAGGGCACACGAAUGGUGGUUUGAAAAAACUACACUGAAGGAGGAUUUAGUAGUAAGAAAGGAAUAGAGCGCCCUACUGAAAAUGGCCCUAAAGCGCGUACAGACCGCCCGUCACUCUCCCCAAAAAAUAUUUCCUUAUUCCUAAUAAUCUUAGUAACACAAGGUGAGAUAAGUCGUAACAUGGUAAGUGUACCGGAAGGUGUACUUGGAUAAA